rnacentral:tRNA from 1 species
GGACUCGUAGCAUAACUGGAUAGUGCACUAGAUUACGGCUCUGGAGGUUGGGGGUUCGAAUCCCUCCGAGUUCACAA